GAAAACUGGACAGCGUCCAGAGGUCCUGCAUCUACUUUGUAACUCUCUUCUUGGGUCAAAGCAUAUGAGACUUGACUAUGUGGUUUUUUACAACAGUUGACUGCUGCAGAAUUUGACAAUUUAGCUUCUUUACUUCUCACUGGCAUCAAAUGACAUUUUCAACUAAGCAAUGGACAGCACUGAUCAGCUAUGAAAGAGCAUACAAUAGCAAGAAAGGUUGUGGCAACUUGAAAUUUCCAAGAUUAUUACCCAUAGAAGAAGGAGAGAAUGCAAAUUUGAUCUGGGAGAAGGAAAGUCCUGAAGUGCAUGGCAUCAGGUAAAAAGCCACAACAAAGGGAUCAACAUUAAACUGCAAGAUACUGAUUUGGAUACCACCUGCUUGUUGCAAAGAAAGAGAUUUGCUGACUUUUGCUCCUGGUCUCAAACCUCUGUCUCAUUUGUGGCAGUCCAUUGUUUGCGAAGUCCCCAAGGAAAACAACCCAG